rnacentral:rRNA from 1 species
UACGAAGGGGGCUAGCGUUGCUCGGAAUCACUGGGCGUAAAGGGUGCGUAGGCGGGUUUUUAAGUCAGGGGUGAAAUCCUGGAGCUCAACUCCAGAACUGCCUUUGAUACUGAAGAUCUUGAGUUCGGGAGAGGUGAGUGGAACUGCGAGUGUAGAGGUGAAAUUCGUAGAUAUUCGCAAGAACACCGGUGGCGAAGGCGGCCAACUGGACCAUUACUGACGCUGAGGCGCGAAAGCGUGGGGGAGCAAACAGG